rnacentral:rRNA from 1 species
CCUACGGGUGGCAGCAGUGGGAAUAUUGGACAAUGGGCGAAAGCCUGAUCCAGCCAUGCCGCGUGUGUGAAGAAGGCCUUCGGGUUGUAAAGCACUUUCAGUGGGGAAGAAAGCCUUGGGGCUAAUACCCUCGAGGAAGGACAUCACCCACAGAAGAAGCACCGGCUAACUCCGUGCCAGCAGCCGCGGUAAUACGGAGGGUGCGAGCGUUAAUCGGAAUUACUGGGCGUAAAGCGCGCGUAGGCGGUCUGAUAAGCCGGUUGUGAAAGCCCCGGGCUCAACCUGGGAACGGCAUCCGGAACUGUCAGGCUAGAGUGCAGGAGAGGAAGGUAGAAUUCCCGGUGUAGCGGUGAAAUGCGUAGAGAUCGGGAGGAAUACCAGUGGCGAAGGCGGCCUUCUGGACUGACACUGACGCUGAGGUGCGAAAGCGUGGGUAGCAAACAGGAUUAGAUACCCGGGUAGUC